rnacentral:rRNA from 1 species
AUGGCUGGAAAGCCUGCUGUUGUUACUCGUGUUGUGGACAGUAUGACGGACAACCUAAGGCUACUCGUGCGGAGGCAACUGAUGUGGCAAACGCGGUGCUGGACGGAUAUGCUUUCCGCUAAAGCACCAGCAGCAACCAAGAAGAUUGAAAAAUCCAAUGAAAGUUCUGAUUCUGAAAGCUCUGACUCUGAGAAGCCAGCCACUGAAGUAAAGAAUUCUGCGGUUGCUACUGCACAAAAGAAAAACCAGGGAUUGGAAGGCUCUGACAGUGAUUCUGAUGAUUCAUCAGAAGGAUAUGGCCACUAA